rnacentral:rRNA from 1 species
UACAGAGGUCCCAAGCGUUGUUCGGAUUCAUUGGGCGUAAAGGGUGCGUAGGUGGCGGGGUAAGUCGGAUGUGAAAUCUCGGGGCUCAACCUCGAAACUGCAUUCGAUACUGCCUUGCUAGAGUACUGGAGAGGAGAUCGGAAUUUACGGUGUAGCAGUGAAAUGCGUAGAUAUGUGGAGGAAUACCGAUGGCGAAGGCAGCCCCCUGGGUCGACACUGACGCUCAUGCACGAAAGCGUGGGGAGCAAACAGG